CGAGGGGCAGCAUGAAGUUUGCUUGCAAACUUUGAUGGCGACCGGCGCACGGGUGAGUAACGCGUAUCCAACCUUCCCUAUAGUAGAGAAUAGCCCGGCGAAAGUCGGAUUAAUGCUCUAUGUUAUUCAAAGCGGACAUCUAAUUUGAAUCAAAGGUUCACCGCUAUAGGAUGGGGAUGCGUCUGAUUAGCUUGAUGGCGGGGUAACGGCCCACCAUGGCGACGAUCAGUAGGGGUUCUGAGAGGAAGGUCCCCCACAUUGGAACUGAGACACGGUCCAAACUCCUACGGGAGGCAGCAGUGAGGAAUAUUGGUCAAUGGGCGAGAGCCUGAACCAGCCAAGUAGCGUGCAGGAUGACGGCCCUAUGGGUUGUAAACUGCUUUUAUGCGGGGAUAAAGUCGGCUACGCGUAGCCGUUUGUAGGUACCGCAUGAAUAAGGACCGGCUAAUUCCGUGCCAGCAGCCGCGGUAAUACGGAAGGUCCGGGCGUUAUCCGGAUUUAUUGGGUUUAAAGGGAGCGCAGGCCGGAGGUCAAGCGUGACGUGAAAUGUAGGGGCUCAACCUUUGAAUUGCGUCGCGACCUGGUUUCCUUGAGUGAGUACGACGUCAGCGGAAUUCGUGGUGUAGCGGUGAAAUGCUUAGAUAUCACGAAGAACCCCGAUUGCGAGGGCAGCUGACGAGUCCUUUACUGACGCUAAAGCUCGAAGGUGCGGGUAUCGAACAGGAUUAGAUACCCUGGUAGUCCGCACGGUAAACGAUGGAUGCCCGCUGUUUGCGAUAUAUUGUAAGCGGCCAAGCGAAAGCGUUAAGCAUCCCACCUGGGGAGUACGCCGGCAACGGUGAAACUCAAAGGAAUUGACGGGGGCCCGCACAAGCGGAGGAACAUGUGGUUUAAUUCGAUGAUACGCGAGGAACCUUACCCGGGCUUGAACUGCAGGAGAACGAUCCAGAGAUGGUGAGGCCCUUCGGGGCUCCUGUGGAGGUGCUGCAUGGUUGUCGUCAGCUCGUGCCGUGAGGUGUCGGCUUAAGUGCCAUAACGAGCGCAACCCCUUUCGCCAGUUGCCAUCAGGUGAUGCUGGGCACUC
rnacentral:rRNA from 1 species